UCACUAGUAAUCGCGGAUCAGCAUGCCGCGGUGAAUGCGUUCUCGGGCCUUGUACACACCGCCCGUCACACCAUGAGAGUCGGGAACACCCGAAGUCCGUAGCCUAACCGCAAGGGGGGCGCGGCCGAAGGUGGGCUCGAUAAUUGGGGUGAAGUCGUAACAAGGUAUC
rnacentral:rRNA from 1 species